CUUGCUGAGAUACACUAGGUGCACUUGCAUAAUAGAGACACUACUGAAAUGUGCCCUAGUGUAUCUCAGCAA